GGGUUGUGAGGUUAAGCGACUAAGCGUACACGGUGGAUGCCCUGGCAGUCAGAGGCGAUGAAGGACGUGCUAAUCUGCGAUAAGCGUCGGUAAGGUGAUAUGAACCGUUAUAACCGGCGAUUUCCGAAUGGGGAAACCCAGUGUGUUUCGACACACUAUCAUUAACUGAAUCCAUAGGUUAAUGAGGCGAACCGGGGGAACUGAAACAUCUAAGUACCCCGAGGAAAAGAAAUCAACCGAGAUUCCCCCAGUAGCGGCGAGCGAACGGGGAGGAGCCCAGAGCCUGAAUCAGUGUGUGUGUUAGUGGAAGCGUCUGGAAAGGCGCGCGAUACAGGGUGACAGCCCCGUACACAAAAAUGCACAUGCUGUGAGCUCGAUGAGUAGGGCGGGACACGUGGUAUCCUGUCUGAAUAUGGGGGGACCAUCCUCCAAGGCUAAAUACUCCUGACUGACCGAUAGUGAACCAGUACCGUGAGGGAAAGGCGAAAAGAACCCCGGCGAGGGGAGUGAAAAAGAACCUGAA
rnacentral:rRNA from 1 species